rnacentral:rRNA from 1 species
UACGAAGGGGACUAGCGUGGUUCGGAAUUACUGGGCGUAAAGCGCACGUAGGCGGAUUUGUUAGUCAGGGGUGAAAUCCCGGGGCUCAACCUCGGAACUGCCUUUGAUACUGCAAGUCUCGAGUCCGAUAGAGGUGGGUGGAAUUCCUAGUGUAGAGGUGAAAUUCGUAGAUAUUAGGAAGAACACCGGUGGCGAAGGCGGCCCACUGGAUCGGUACUGACGCUGAGGUGCGAAAGCGUGGGGAGCAAACAGG